GAGGAUAUAGCUCAAUGGUAGAGCACUCCUGGGUUCAAUUCCCAGUAUCUCCC
rnacentral:tRNA from 1 species